rnacentral:rRNA from 1 species
UACGGGGGGGGUAAGCGUUGUUCGGAAUUACUGGGCGUAAAGCGCACGUAGGCGGUUUGCUAAGUCAGGGGUGAAAUCCUGGAGCUCAACUCCAGAACUGCCUUUGAUACUGGCGAUCUCGAGUCCGGGAGAGGUGAGUGGAACUGCGAGUGUAGAGGUGAAAUUCGUAGAUAUUCGCAAGAACACCAGUGGCGAAGGCGGCUCACUGGCCCGGUACUGACGCUGAGGUGCGAAAGCGUGGGGAGCAAACAGG